GUUGAACGCUGGCGGCAUGCCUUACACAUGCAAGUCGAACGGUAACGCGGGGCAACCUGGCGACGAGUGGCGAACGGGUGAGUAGUGCAUCGGAACGUGCCCAAUAGUGGGGGGAUAGCCCGGCGAAAGCCGGAUUAAUACCGCAUACGACCUAUGGGUGAAAGCGGGGGAUCGCAAGACCUCGCGCUAUUGGAGCGGCCGAUGUCAGACUAGGUAGUUGGCGGGGUAAAGGCCCACCAAGCCUGCGAUCUGUAGCUGGUCUGAGAGGACGACCAGCCACACUGGGACUGAGACACGGCCCAGACUCCUACGGGAGGCAGCAGUGGGGAAUUUUGGACAAUGGGGGUAACCCUGAUCCAGCCAUGCCGCGUGCGGGAAGAAGGCCUU
rnacentral:rRNA from 1 species